GUUUACAAGAGGUUUUAAUAGCUGGGUUCAAGAGAGGUUUUAAUAGCUGGGUUUACAAGAGGUUUUAAUAGCUGGGUUUACAAGAGGUUUUAAUAGCUGGGUUUACAAGAUGUUUUACUGGCUGGGUUCAAGAGAGGUUUUAAUAGCUGGGUUCAAGAGAGGUUUUAAUAGCUGGGUUCAAGAGAGGUUUUAAUAGCUGGGUUCAAGAGAGGUUUUACUGGCUGGGUUCAAGAGAGGUUUUACUGGCUGGGUUCAAGAGAGGUUUUAAUAGCUGGGUUCAAGAGAGGUUUUAAUGGCUGGGUUUAC